UACAACUGCGAGCACUUUGUCACAGACCUACGAUACGGCAUUCCAGAGUCUCGACAGGUUGCCACAGCAGCUACGAUUGGAGCUGUAACUGUUGGGAUUCUAAUUCUGGGUGGUCUGCUGUUUACAUACUGGCUCACAUGUGACAACAAGGAGGAAAGGAGAGAACCAAGGAGAGAACGAAGGAGACAUUACAAUUGGCAGUAAUGAGAAAGCAAGAUGAAAGGAAAGAUCCUGCUAUUGUUUGAGUCAAUUCACUUGGAAGUGAUUAUGAUUUAAAUGUUGUGAUCUAUUGUCUUUCUUGGUAUAUUGCUAUCACACACACACACACACACACACACACACACACACACACACACACACACACACACACACACACACACACACACUAUAACCUUGGAUAAGAUUAGGCAACCUUUUGUGGAGAAAAAUGAAGUUAUAGGUAAAUCCAUGGCUGUUAUGUUAGGUAUUAGUGCUGUUGGGUAGGUUGACCCCAUGGUUGUGUGUUUAAUGUCUGAAAUGUAUAAAAUGAUUAAUUUGGUGUAUAAGACAAUUUGUAUGAUUCUUUUAAGUCAUGUGAAAAGUGAAGUUAUCAUAUUUAGUACUAAAAAUCUUGAACUUCCUUACUGUAGUUUGUUUGAUCAAUUAUUAUAUUGCAUUGAUUUGUGUAACAAAUAAACCGAUUUUCUUUUUAACUUUGGAGAACCUUUUAUUUUACAUGUCAUGUUCUGUGUGUAUUAUGUACUUGCAGAAAAAGACGAGGGGUCUCAUUUAUAAAAUUGUGCGUAGGAUCCUUACUAAAAGUGUACACACGCCCAAAUGCCCAAAAUGGCGUACGCCAAAAAAAAGUCAGAUUUAUAAAACCGUGUGUACUGUACGCACACCUGUAAGCAAUGUUCCCUCUGUCAUGAAUCCAGCAUCCUGAGCCUGGUUUGCCUAUGUUUUGUUUCUUUGCUCUAACCUGAAGUUUGUUUUUCUGAGUUUUCCUGAACACAUCCCGGCUGAUUUGUAAAUUAUAGAGCGUGGUCUAGACCUACUCUAUCUGUAAAGUGUCUCGAGAUAACUUAUGUUAUGAUUUGAUACUAUAAAUAAAAUUGAAUUGAAUUGAAUUGAUUCACCAACUGAUUACACCUGCUGCUGUCUGCACACCUGGUCCUGAUUACCAUCCUCUGCACCAUAUAAGCUGUGGCCAGACAACCAUUCCCUACUGGAUCGUUGGGGUAAACAUUCUUCACCUGGAUUAUCAUUCACACCUGCCUGGCUGUCGACUAGUGGUGUGCAGAUCGAGGCUUCGUGAAACAAUGAAACAGUUGAAGCAAAUGUGCCAUAUUGUGUCGAGGCUUCGAAACAAUCCGACACCCGUCUCA